ensembl:lncRNA
UGGCACAGCUGGAUCUAGCACAAGAGCAUUUUCCCUGGGAACAAUGAGGCUUUAACACAGCAAGAGAGGGGUCUGUACACCAGCUGACCAGUUCAAACAGGAAUCUUUCGCUGGAUGUUGGUCUGUUCAGCAUUCUGAUGGCAGCUGGAUGACAGACGUAGAUCACAUGAUACCGGCUUCAGAGAUAAUAGAGCUCACCAUGUUAAACGCGUCUGAAAGCUCACAAAUAGGCCUUGACUUUGUGUGUGAGUGUGUUGGAUACAGUAGGAACAGAUGACCAGAGAAAGCAUUGGCUCGUCUCUGCAUUCAUGGACCUCCUGGGUUGUCAUGGAAACACUAUCGCCUGAGUAUGGUAGACUAGUCCUUGGCUUGUGUUUGUAUUCUUGCGUUGUAUUUAGACCAAUCGUGUGAUCAGAGGAACAUCCUUUCAUCUUUACCCUUUAUUAUUAGUUUAUUUUAAGUUAAUUCACACACCUCAAACAGUUUCAAACAAUCACUGGUCUGUGGUGAUUAUGUAAUAGGUAUGUGUGCUCUGAAGCUCCGCCUUUUUUGAUGUGGAAAUCUUCUUCAGUUCAUUGCUAUUUAAUGCUAUAUAAAUUGAUAUGACUUGACUGGAGUGCCAAAUUACAAAGCUGGUGCAAAUUAUCCAUAUCGCUAUGAUCAGAUGCUUUCUUCACAGCUGAUUUCUCACUGCUGUCAUGUUUGUUAUUGAGAGGACAGCAUGCAGCAUAUGUUUACAUUUUCAUCUAAAUGUCACUCUCAGCAACCCGGGAUAUAUUUUCACCUUCUUUUCACCCUUAAGCAAAGAAUGAAAAAGAGCUUCACCAUUAUUGAUCUGGCUGCAACUGUUCUUAAGCUCAAUAUAGGGGAAGAUUUUAAAGUGACACAUAAAGCUCACAUAAGGCUAUUAUACAGUAUGUUGAUCACAAAUCAUAUUGAUCUUUUUUUUUUAAUUGCAUGUUUAUUGGUUUUAGCAAAAAUAACAUACAAAAAGAACACAAGUCAAAAUUACAAGGAAAAACAAACAGAUGAACAAAAAAAUUCCUCAUACCUGCC